rnacentral:lncRNA from 10 species
AAACUAGUUCAACCAUUGUGGAAGACAGUGUGGUGAUUCCUCAAGGAUCUAGAACUAGAAAUACCAUUUGAUCCAGCCAUCCCACUACUGGGUAUAUACCCAAAGGAUUAUAAAUCAUGCUGCUAUAAAGACACAUGCACAUGUAUGUUUAUUGCGGCACCAUUCACAAUAGCAAAGACUUGGAACCAACCCAGAUGUCAUAGGCUAGAUUAAGAAAAUGUGGCACAUAUACACAUGGAAUACUAUGCAGCCACAAAAAAGGAUGAGUUCAUGUCCUUUGUAGGGACAUGGAUGAAGCUGGAAACCAUUAUUCUGAGCAAACUAUCUCAAGGACAGAAAACCAAACACCGCAUAUUCUCACUCAUAGGUGGGAACUGAACAAUGAGAACACUUGGACCCAGGGAGGGGAACAUCACACACCGGGGCCUGUCAUGGGGUAGGGGGAAGGGAGAGGGAUAGCAUAAGGAGAUAUACCUAAUGUAAAUAACGAGUUAAUGGGUGCAGCACACCAACAUGUCACAUGUAUACAUGUGUAACAAACCUGCACAUUGUGCACAUGUACCCUAGAACUUAAAAUAUAAUAUUAAAAAAAAAUCAGCCAGGUGUGGUGGUGUGUACCUGUAGUCCCUGUUACUUGGGAGGCUGAGGCAGGAGAAUCAUUUGAACCUGGGAGAUGGAGGUUGCAGUGAGCCAAGAUCAUGCCACUGCACUCCAGCCUGGAUGACAGAGUGAGACUCCGUCUCCAAACGAACAAAAAACGACAAGAAUGAAUAAAUAGAGGCAGAAAAGGUAUCUGACAAGCCUUAGCCCAUUUAUGAGUAGUGUUCCAUUUUUGGAACGCUAAGCAUGUGGGAGUUAUUUAUAUCCUACUGUUCAAGGUUAUUGCCAAAGUCUGAUUUCUCACACAUCUGCAAUUCAAAAAAUUGCAAUCUCCAGCAUAAAUGGGUUAAUAUCUCCUCAUGAUUAAAAACACUCAAUGAACUAUACAAGAGAAGAUUCCAUAAGAUGACAGAGAGGCACAAGGAACGUAGAAAAAUCUAUAGGCCAGGUGCGGUGGCUCACACUUGUAAUCCCAGCACCUUGGGAGGCUGAGGCAGGCAGAUCAUGAGGUCAGGAGAUCGAGACCAUCCUGGCUAACAUGGUGAAACCCCGUCUCUACUAAAAAUACAAAAAAUUAGCCAAGCGUGGUGGUAGGCACCUGUAGUCUCAGUUACUCGGGAGGCUGAGGCAGGAGAAUGGCUUGAACCUGGGAGGUGGAGGUUGCAGUGAGCCGAGAUGGCGCCACUGCACUCCAGCCUGGGUGACAGAGCGAGACUCUGUCUCAAAAAAAAAAAAAAAAGGAAAGAAAAAAAGAAAAAUCUACUAUAAAGACAUGUAUUAAAAAUUCAAAACCAGAGGCCAAGGCAGACAGGUCAUUUGAGCCCAGCAGUUCGAGACCAGCCUGGGCAACAUAGGGAGACCCCGUCUCUGUAAUAAAAUAAAUAAAUAAUUAGACAUGGUGGCAUACAACAAAUGGUACUGAAACACCUGGAUUAGCAAAUGCAAAGAAAUGAAUUAGAUACAGAACUUCACCUUUUACAAAACUACCUCCUAAUGAAUCAUUUACUUAAAUGGAAAAUGCAAAACUCACAACUUCUAGAACGUAACACUUGUGAAAACCAUGACAACCUUGGAUUUGGCAAUAAGGUUUCACACACAACACAAAAAGCAUGAUCUGUGAAUGAGAAAAUCGAUAAAUUGGACUUCAAAGUAAAACUGUCAGUACUGGGACCAAAACAGAUAUAUAGACCAAUGGAACAUAACAGAGGCCUCAGAAAUAACACCACACAUAUACAACCAUCUGAUCUUUGACGAACCUGACAAAAACAACAAAUGGGGAAACGAUUCCCUAUUUAAUAAAUGGUGCUGGGAGAACUGGCUAGCCAUAUGUAGAAAGCUGAAACUGGAUCCCUUCCUUACACCUUACACAAAAAUUAAUUCAAGAUGGAUUAAGACUUAAACGUUAGACCUAAAACCAUAAAAACCCUAGAAGAAAACCUAGGCAAUACCAUUCAGGACAUAGGCAUGGGCAAGGACUUCAUGACUAAAACACCAAAAGCAAUGGCAACAGAAGCCAAAAUUGACAAAUGGGAUCUAAUUAAACUAAAGAGCUUCUGCACAGCAAAAGAAACUACCAUCAAAGUGAACAGGCAACCUAUAGAAUGAGAGAAAAUUUUUGCAAUCUACCCAUCCAACAAACGACUAAUAUCCAGAAUCUACAAGGAACUCAAACAAACUUACAAGAAAAAAACAAACAACCCC